GAGGAGCCAGUGGUAUUGAUGGGUUGGUUAGUACAGCUAUUGGCUUUGCCUGUAGGAUGCAAUAAAUGGGUUCUUUGUGUGAUUGGAGAUGUUUCUUUCCUUCAUAAUACCAAUGGGUUGGCAAUUUUGAGCCAAAGGCAGCUUUCAUGGUUCCAACUGAGUUGCUUGCAAUCCAGCAUUAUGAUCAUUUAAAUAAUUUGCUUGAAAAGCAUGGAGGAAGUUGAGUGCAAACCUUCUAUUGCGUUACUAACAGGUUCAACCCAGUUAAAACAAUCACGGAUGAUACGUAAGGAUCUUCAAACUGGAGACAUAUUAAUAGUCACUGCCCAUUGGAACCCGCAGUUUGAUUGCUGAAAGGUGGAGUUCUCUGCACUGCAGAUUGCUGUAGUGGAUGAGCAGCAUCGUUUUGGUGUGAUCCAGAGAGGAAGGUUCAACAGCAAGUUGGGCAAUACUUCCAUAUGUUCAAGACUUGCUUCAGAAAAUUCGGAUGACUCCUCACAAACUGAUAAGUUUAUGGCUUCUCAUGUUCUUGCCAUGUCUGCCACUCCUAUCCCGAGGACUCUUGCUCUGGCUUUAUACGGAGAUGUGUCCCUGACACAAAUAUACAAUGUUUCUA